GAUGUAAGUCAAUAACAUGAAGUAGCCUAAUAAAAUUCAAAGAAAAUAAUGCAUAUUGUUGGUAGGCAUAGGCUUUUCUCUCCCUCCCCAGGAAUGUGAACAAAUACCUAUCUUUCCUCAGCAGCUUCUACUGUCUUCUUGAACUGGGAGGGCAAUCAUCCUGGGGUGAAGUUCAUGAGGAAGCAGGCAGACUCAAGAGAACCACACAGAAAUGGACCUAGGGACCCGAGUGCUCUACCCUUGGAGAUCACAACCCCUUUCAACUUUUCAUUAUGUGCAAUCACACAUUUUCCUUACUUUUAGCCUAUGUUUGGUCUGAAAUUCAAUUCUUGAAGCUGAAAACAAUUUUGACAAUGAUAGACUCCCAUAUUGUUAUUAUUAUCCCAAGGAGAGCCGAUAUGGAGAAUGUGGCUAACGAGGUGAUUCACUUCUUCAUCAGAAUGGGUGAAAAAGCAACGUCCACCUACUUCAGAGGCCAUGCCCAUUAGUGGAAGCUCUUGAGUAACUUUAGACUGAAUAUGGAUGUGUCUUUGUCAUAAAUGGACAGUUUUUAUUAGGAAAAGAAUAUAUAUUUCAAAGACUUUUGUAGCUAGAAGGGAAACUGGAGAACAUAAAGUCUAUCCUCUCUCCCACAAUGAAAAGGAACACAACUUCUUGUCAUUGAAAAUAAACAAAUGAGAAACGUUUUUCACGUGAAGUUAGAAUUUUAUUUUCUCCUGGUGAAUUGAAACCUGUAUCAUUCUAUAAUGGCCCUCUUUAAACCUGCUAAUGCUGUUUUUGCUUUAAAGUCUAUUUUAAGUCUGCAAAACAGCCACAAAGUGUUUCUUUUCAAUGAUCUUUUCCUGACAGAGUUUUUUACAAUUCUUGUAGCUGAUAAUCUCACAUUAAAAAACAUCAAAGUUUAAUUCUGUUAAUAGUUCCUAAUGUCUUUAAUCAUGCGUUGCUAUAGAUUUUGUUUCCACAUUUUUUCUACUAUUUAUUUAUUGGAAACAGAUAUUUAACUGAUCUAAAGUUUUAAAAAUCAUGAGGGUUAUAGCUUGAGAGUAAGUUCCUCCAAAAGAAUCUGUAUUUACAUCUUCUGGGUGCACUUGGGUACUACCAAUUUGAGUCAACUUUAUUUUCAUCUCUAAUGUUUAGGUUUCCUGCAUCAUACAUGUGUGUACAUUUCAACCUCAAAUUCCUGUGAUAGCAAGACUAUGGAUCUACAUUUGGGUGGAAAUUUCUUUCUUUUCUUUCUUCCUUCCUUUCUUCCUUCUUUCCUUCCUUCCUUCCUUUUCUAAUUUUAUCCAGCUCUAGUAGUGGUCAAGAUAGUGUAGUCCUCUUCUGACUAGCCUUUAUCUCAAUUUAAUUUUCUUUUUCCCAGCGCAUCAUUUUACUGAGCAAGUUCAGUUUCUGAGGAACUGGGCUUUACCUAGUUACUUCACUUCUAACACUCCCAUUUGACUGAGUGCAAGGCAUCAGCUUCUUGUCCCUACAUGGCCAUUAAAACCUGUGUCUUUAAUGCAGUCCCAGGAUUGUUUUUCGCUUUCUCCUCUGGAUACCUUCAUUCUUCUGUAUUGAUUCAUUUAAAAGGUUAUUUUUUAAAGUUUCAUAUCUUUGAAUGUUCCUAGGUAGUUAAAAGAAAAACCUUGGGCAAGUCAAUAAACAUUUUACUCUCAAUUUCCUUUCCUAUUAAAAAGAUAAUUUAAAUCAGAUGAUCACUAAUAUUCUAUCAAUAUACAGUUAUAAUUGUACUUUUGGUGCUUUCUUUUUGCUUUUUGAAAAAAAAAUGACUGGGGAGUAUAGAUGGGAAAACAAAUAAGCCAGUAAACAGAUAAAAUAAGACUUUGGAUUCAGAACAAAUCUGCCUUCAAAACUUGACUGUUACUUACUAGUUAUUUAUUUGAAUUUGGCUAGUAAAAUUCCUCGCUAAGUCUCCUGAGCCUGAGCUCCUGUCUGACUCUUGGUGCUAAGUGUGAAACCAUCAACCUAUGC
rnacentral:lncRNA from 1 species